rnacentral:rRNA from 1 species
UGAGGAAUAUUGGUCAAUGGGCGCAAGCCUGAACCAGCCAUCCCGCGUGCAGGAAGACGGCCCUAUGGGUUGUAAACUGCUUUUCCAGGGGGAGAAUUUUUCUGUCGUGACAGGAAUUGACGGUACCUCGGGAAUAAGCAUCGGCUAACUCCGUGCCAGCAGCCGCGGUAAUACGGAGGAUGCGAGCGUUAUCCGGAUUUAUUGGGUUUAAAGGGUGCGUAGGCGGAUUGAUAAGUCAGUGGUGAAAACCUGCAGCUUAACUGUAGACUUGCCGUUGAUACUGUCAGUCUUGAGUGUGGUCAAGGUAGGCGGAAUGUGUAAUGUAGCGGUGAAAUGCUUAGAUAUUACACAGAACACCGAUUGCGAAGGCAGCUUACUGGGCCAUUACUGACGCUGAUGUACGAAAGCGUGGGGAUCGAACAG